AAGUCGUAACAAGGUUUCCGUAGGUGAACCUGCGGAAGGAUCAUUAUCACAAAAUGAUUUUUAAGGUCUCUCUUAAUCCAGAGCCUUAAACCUCUUCUUAAACCAAUUUAAUUCAAAUGUGAAACUGUUCAUUUUGUUGUGUUUGUUUUUUCUUGUUUUUUUUCUGAUUGAUGAUUGGCUCUCUUGAGCCUUUCAGAAACAAAAAAAAAAAAAAAACAAAAAAAACAAAAACAACACUAUUCUUUUAACCAAUUGAACCCUUUUCUAAUUUAUUGUUAUUUUAUUUCUAUUUUAGUUCUGAAAUCUAUUAUAUUUCAAUAGCAAUAUUGAUGUAUGAUAAGUUACAUUACGAAACAAUAUUAAAUAAAACAACUCUUAGCAACGGAUAUCUUGGUUCUC
rnacentral:misc_RNA from 1 species